UACGUAGGGUGCAAGCGUUAAUCGGAAUUACUGGGCGUAAAGCGUGCGCAGGCGGUUGUGUAAGACAGGUGUGAAAUCCCCGGGCUUAACCUGGGAAUUGCAUUUGUGACUGCACGGCUAGAGUUUGGCAGAGGGGGGUAGAAUUCCACGUGUAGCAGUGAAAUGCGUAGAUAUGUGGAGGAACACCGGUGGCGAAGGCGGCAUCCUGGACCGACAUUGACGCUGAGGCGCGAAAGCUAGGGGAGCAAACGGG
rnacentral:rRNA from 1 species